GUGUCAGCCGCCGCGGUAAUACGUAGGGUGCGAGCGUUAAUCGGAAUUACUGGGCGUAAAGUGUGCGCAGGCGGCGCUGCAAGUCGAGUGUGAAAUCCCCGAGCUUAACUUGGGAAUUGCGCUCGAAACUACGGCGCUGGAGUAUGGCAGAGGAAGGUGGAAUUCCACGUGUAGCGGUGAAAUGCGUAGAGAUGUGGAGGAACACCGAUGGCGAAGGCAGCCUUCUGGGCCAAUACUGACGCUCAUGCACGAAAGCGUGGGGAGCAAACAGGAUUAGAAACCCUCGUAGUCC
rnacentral:rRNA from 1 species